UGGAUUUGAAAUUUGAGGUUCAUGAUCUGAGUUGCUUCGAUUUGAUUUCAAAGCAACUCAAUCUUGUUGCUUGCAUUGGUAGGAUUUCAACAAACCAAAAAUCACAAAGAAUAGUGAAGAAUUGAGAGAGUAUCGAAGAGAUGAAGUUUCUGAAUUUUCACCUUCGAGUUGCUUCAAAUUUGCUUGAUCUUGACUUGGAUUUGCUUGAU
rnacentral:lncRNA from 1 species